rnacentral:rRNA from 1 species
UACGGGGGGGGCAAGCGUUGUUCGGAAUUACUGGGCGUAAAGGGCGCGUAGGCGGUUUGCUAAGUUGGAUGUGAAAACUCUGGGCUUAACCCAGAGCCUGCAUCCAAAACUGGCAAACUUGAGUACUGGAGGGGAAAGCGGAAUUCCUGGUGUAGCGGUGAAAUGCGUAGAUAUCAGGAGGAACACCGAUGGCGAAGGCAGGUCUCUGGGCCAUAACUGACGCUGAGAAGCGAAAGCAUGGGGAGCGAACAGG